GACGAACGCUGGCGGCGUGCUUAACACAUGCAAGUCGAACGGAAAGGCCCUGCUUUUGUGGGGUGCUCGAGUGGCGAACGGGUGAGUAACACGUGAGUAACCUGCCCUGGACUUGGUGAUAACUUCAGGAAACUGGGGCUAAUACCGGAUAGGAGCUCGUGCUGCAUGGUGGGGGUUGGAAAGUUUCGGCGGUUGGGGAUGGACUCGCGGCUUAUCAGCUUGUUGGUGGGGUAGUGGCUUACCAAGGCUUUGACGGGUAGCCGGCCUGAGAGGGUGACCGGCCACAUUGGGACUGAGAUACGGCCCAGACUCCUACGGGAGGCAGCAGUGGGGAAUAUUGCACAAUGGGCGGAAGCCUGAUGCAGCAACGCCGCGUGCGGGAUGACGGCCUUCGGGUUGUAAACCGCUUUCGCCUGUGACGAAGCGUGAGUGACGGUAAUGGGUAAAGAAGCACCGGCUAACUACGUG
rnacentral:rRNA from 1 species